rnacentral:rRNA from 1 species
CCAAUAGCGUAUAUUAAAGUUGUUGCAGUUAAAAAGCUCGUAGUUGAAUUUCGGGAUCAAUACGUCGGUCGUGCUUCGGUACGUACUGGCGUCAUUGAUUUCUCCCUUCUGACGAACCACGAUGUCAUUAACUUGGUGUCAUGGGAAAUCAGGACUGUUACUUUGAAAAAAUUAGAGUGUUUAAAGCAGGCUCACGCUUGAAUACAUUAGCAUGGAAUAAUGAAAUAGGACGUUCGAUCCUAUUUUGUUGGUUUUAGGAUCAACGUAAUGAUUAAUAGGGAUAGUUGGGGGCAUUAGUAUUCAAUUGUCAGAGGUGAAAUUCUUGGAUUUAUUGAAGACUAACUACUGCGAAAGCAUUUGCCAAGGAUGUUUUCAUUAAUCAAGAACGAAAGUUAGGGGAUCGAAGACGAUCAGAUACCGUCGUAGUCUUAACCAUAAACUAUGCCGACUAGGGAUCGGAUGAUGUUAAUUUUUUAAUGACUCAUUCGGCGCCUUACG